rnacentral:rRNA from 1 species
UACGAAGGGGGCUAGCGUUGUUCGGAUUUACUGGGCGUAAAGCGCACGUAGGCGGAUCGUUAAGUCGGGGGUGAAAUCCUGGAGCUCAACUCCAGAACUGCCUUCGAUACUGGCGAUCUUGAGUCCGGAAGAGGUGAGUGGAACUCCUAGUGUAGAGGUGGAAUUCGUAGAUAUUAGGAAGAACACCAGUGGCGAAGGCGGCUCACUGGUCCGGUACUGACGCUGAGGUGCGAAAGCGUGGGGGAGCAAACAGGG